rnacentral:rRNA from 1 species
CCUACGGGCGGCAGCAGUGAGGAAUAUUGGUCAAUGGCCGGGAGGCUGAACCAGCCAAGUCGCGUGAGGGAAGACGGCCCUACGGGUUGUAAACCUCUUUUGUCAGGGAGCAAGAUGCAGGUCGGGACCUGCUGUGAGAGUACCUGCAGAAAAAGCAUCGGCUAACUCCGUGCCAGCAGCCGCGGUAAUACGGAGGAUGCUAGCGUUAUCCGGAUUUAUUGGGUUUAAAGGGUGCGCAGGCGGAGGCACAAGUCAGCGGUAAAAUCGCGGGGCUCAACCCCGCUCCGCCGUUGAAACUGUGUGCCUUGAGUGCGCGAAGGGUAGGCGGAAUGCGUGGUGUAGCGGUGAAAUGCAUAGAUAUCACGCAGAACUCCGAUCGCGAAGGCAGCCUACCGGCGCGCAACUGACGCUCAUGCACGAAAGCGUGGGUAUCGAACAGGAUUAGAUACCCCAGUAGUC